UACGGGGGGGGUAAGCGUUGUUCGGAAUUACUGGGCGUAAAGGGCUCGUAGGCGGCCAACUAAGUCGGAUGUGAAAUCCCCAGGCUUAACCUGGGAACUGCAUCCGAUACUGGAUGGCUUGAAUCCGGGAGAGGGAUGCAGAAUUCCAGGUGUAGCGGUGAAAUGCGUAGAUAUCUGGAGGAAUACCGGUGGCGAAGGCGGCAUCCUGGACCGGCAUUGACGCUGAGUGAGCGAAAGCCAGGGGAGCAAACGGG
rnacentral:rRNA from 1 species